rnacentral:rRNA from 1 species
CACGUAGGGUGCGAGCGUUGUCCGGAAUUAUUGGGCGUAAAGAGCUCGUAGGCGGUGUGUCGCGUCGGCCGUGAAAACCUGCAGCUUAACUGUGGGCUUGCGGUCGAUACGGGCAUCACUGGAGUUCGGCAGGGGAGACUGGAAUUCCUGGUGUAGCGGUGGAAUGCGCAGAUAUCAGGAGGAACACCGAUGGCGAAGGCAGGUCACUGGGCCGCAACUGACGCUGAGGAGCGAAAGCGUGGGGAGCGAACAGG